rnacentral:rRNA from 1 species
GAUGAACGCUGGCGGCGUGCCUAAUACAUGCAAGUCGAGCGAACGGACGAGAAGCUUGCUUUUCUGAUGUUAGCGGCGGACGGGUGAGUAACACGUGGAUAACCUACCUAUAAGACUGGGAUAACUUCGGGAAACCGGAGCUAAUACCGGAUAAUAUUUUGAACCGCAUGGUUCAAAAGUGAAAGACGGUCUUGCUGUCACUUAUAGAUGGAUCCGCGCUGCAUUAGCUAGUUGGUAAGGUAACGGCUUACCAAGGCAACGAUGCAUGGCCGACCUGAGAGGGUGAUUGGCCACACUGGAACUGAGACACGGUCCAGACUCCUACGGGAGGCAGCAGUAGGGAAUCUUCCGCAAUGGGCGAAAGCCUGACGGAGCAACGCCGCGUGAGUGAUGAAGGUCUUCGGAUCGUAAAACUCUGUUAUUAGGGAAGAACAUAUGUGUAAGUAACUGUGCACAUCUUGACGGUACCUAAUCAGAAAGCCACGGCUAACUACGUG